GAAGCUGGCUGCCGCUGAAAUAAUUUUGAUUUUUUUUUUUUCCAGUAAAUUUAGUUGUCACAAAAGGCGCUCGAUUGACAGGCCCGCAGAGGAAAACGUGCGAGUCCGGGAGAUGCGAUGUCAGCUCCUGCCUGAGGAACGCCUGGGCUGGAGGGCCUGCGUUUGCCUUGUCAGAGCGGGUCUUUCGGGGGCCACUCCCCGCGUUGGUGACACCCUGGUGUCAGGGGUGUUACUUUCCUCUAGGUGAAGCCUACUAACUUUGCAGGAACCAACGGAAGAGCCAAUCAGGAGCAUGCCCCACUUUUUCUCUUCCUUAUCUUCUGAAAGGGACAAAGUAUUUCCAUGGAACCCUCAAGGCACAGGGAGAAGAAAACAGUCUAUGUUAUAAAAACCUCUUUUGUAUAUAUUAUGAACUGCCAUAUCAGGAAAUCCAUGAACAAUCUGAAAAUUGCUCAGAAGGCUGAGUGUGAGAAAGCUGUACUAUAUCAAAGAAAGCGUCCAGAGGACACACUUUCAAAAGGGAAAAUUGCCAGCACAGAGCACUGUGGACAAUCAACAUGAAAACAGGGGCUGAUAUAAUCACAGCUAAAGGAACAAAUGUUAAGCGUUCUCCCUUCAGCUCAGCUGGCCUAUUAUACCUCUGAAUACCCAGGCUUACAAUGCCUCCCCUCCCUGCCUCCAAUUCCAGAAGUGUCAGACAGGAGACACAGUGCCAGCAAAAAACCUUCCACCGAUCUCUUGUUAGCUAACUGCGGUGUUUUGUUCCGUGGUUACAUGUCUGCACAGGCCGUCAUUGUGUCAGUCAUAAUUACCACCUGUUCGCCUGCUCCCUUCAGGUUCCAUCACCUCUGCGGCAUUAAGCAGCCAGCGGCAGGAAGCAGUGUGGCUUGCCCAGGAGCAGCGACUGUCAGGCUCUGGGUUUCAGAGUAUAAUUGCUGCCUGCACGCACAGAACCCUGGCCUCUCCCCUCCUCCCCCACCCCUCCCCCGAUCGGGAAGGAAAACACCCAGCUGUACACAUUCUUUAGGCAGAGGAGAUCAGAGGCACAUCAAAUGUCAUCUUCAGGCCAUGCAUCGGACCUGAGCUCUAACACAAACAUGCCAUUCUGUGACCAAAAAUAAAAGUUCAAUUUUU